AACGAACGCUGGCGGCAGGCUUAACACAUGCAAGUCGAGCGCCCCGCAAGGGGAGCGGCAGACGGGUGAGUAACGCGUGGGAAUCUACCCAUCUCUACGGAAUAACCCAGGGAAACUUGGACUAAUACCGUAUACGUCCUUCGGGAGAAAGAUUUAUCGGAGAUGGAUGAGCCCGCGUUGGAUUAGCUAGUUGGUGGGGUAAAGGCCUACCAAGGCGACGAUCCAUAGCUGGUCUGAGAGGAUGAUCAGCCACACUGGGACUGAGACACGGCCCAGACUCCUACGGGAGGCAGCAGUGGGGAAUAUUGGACAAUGGGCGAAAGCCUGAUCCAGCAAUGCCGCGUGAGUGAUGAAGGCCUUAGGGUUGUAAAGCUCUUUUACCCGGGAUGAUAAUGACAGUACCGGGAGAAUAAGCCCCGGCUAACUCCGUGCCAGCAGCCGCGGUAAUACGGAGGGGGCUAGCGUUGUUCGGAAUUACUGGGCGUAAAGCGCGCGUAGGCGGCUAUUCAAGUCAGAGGUGAAAGCCCGGAGCUCAACUCCGGAAUUGCCUUUGAAACUAGAUAGCUAGAAUCAUGGAGAGGCGAGUGGAAUUCCGAGUGUAGAGGUGAAAUUCGUAGAUAUUCGGAAGAACACCAGUGGCGAAGGCGACUCGCUGGACAUGUAUUGACGCCGAGGUGCGAAAGCGUGGGGAGCAAACAGGAUUAGAUACCCUGGUAGUCCACGCCGUAAACGAUGAUAACUAGCUGUCCGGGCACUUGGUGCUUGGGUGGCGCAGCUAACGCAUUAAGUUAUCCGCCUGGGGAGUACGGUCGCAAGAUUAAAACUCAAAGGAAUAGACGGGGACCCGCACAAGCGGUGGAGCAUGUGGUUUAAUUCGACGAUACACGAAGAACCUUACCUGGACUUGACAUAGUAAGAACUUUCUAGAGAUAGAUUGGUGUCUGCUUGCAGAAACUUAUAUACAGGUGCUGCACGGCUGUCGUCAGCUCGUGUCGUGAGAUGUUGGGUUAAGUCCCGCAACGAGCGCAACCCUCGUGUUUAGUUGCUAACAGUUCGGCUGAGAACUCUAAACAGACUGCCUACGCAAGUAGGAGGAAGGUGAGGACGACGUCAAGUCAUCAUGGCCCUUACGUCCAGGGCUACACACGUGCUACAAUGGGAUAUACAAAGAGCGGCAAUACGGUGACGUGGAGCAAAUCUUAUAAAAUAUCUCCCAGUUCGGAUUGUAGUCUGCAACUCGACUACAUGAAGUUGGAAUCGCUAGUAAUCGUAGAUCAGCUAUGCUACGGUGAAUACGUUCCCGGGUCUUGUACUCACCGCCCGUCACACCAUGGGAGUCGAACUCAUUCGAAGCGGGGAUGCUAAAAUAGCUACCUUCCACAGUGGAUUUGGCGACUGGGGUG
rnacentral:rRNA from 1 species